rnacentral:rRNA from 1 species
CCUACGGGAGGCAGCAGUGAGGAAUAUUGGUCAAUGGGCGCUAGCCUGAACCAGCCAAGUAGCGUGAAGGAUGACUGCCCUAUGGGUUGUAAACUUCUUUUAUAUGGGAAUAAAGUGCAGUAUGUAUACUGCUUUGCAUGUACCUUAUGAAUAAGGAUCGGCUAACUCCGUGCCAGCAGCCGCGGUAAUACGGAGGAUCCGAGCGUUAUCCGGAUUUAUUGGGUUUAAAGGGAGCGUAGGCGGGUUGUUAAGUUAGUUGUGAAAGUUUGCGGCUCAACCGUAAAAUUGCAGUUGAUACUGGGUACCUAGAGUACAGUAGAGGUAGGUGGAAUUCGUGGUGUAGCGGUGAAAUGCUUAGAUAUCAGGAGGAACACCAAUUGCGAAGGCAGCCUGCUGGACUGUAACUGACGCUGAUGCUCGAAAGUGUGGGUAGCAAACAGGAUUAGGUACCCUGGUAGUC